rnacentral:lncRNA from 1 species
CCCGUUUGUGUGUGUGUGUGUGUGUGUGUGUGUGUGUGUGUGUGUGUGUGUGGUGUGCUGUGUGUGUGCGUGUGUGUGUGUGUGUGUGUGUGUGUGUGUGUGUGAGUGUGUGUGUUCGCCUGCGUGCUUUUCUUCUUCCCUUUAAGAUGUGAGAUAUGAAUGGCUUCUCAGUAGCUGGUCCUUAGGAUUCUGGACUUUGUGGAGCUGUGAACACAACGCACCCAUGUAAUUCAUGUUGUGUGGUCGCUUAUCUUAGAAAAAAAGGCGCAACUCGACGGGGGUGGGGCAGAUCCAUGAAACAUUCUGGAAAGGAGAAAUAGAAAGGGGGAGGAAUAAAAAUAUGAAUAGUGAAAGACCUGAGAAGACUUUUGGAAUCUCCCGGCUGACCCUUCAGUUUUCCGGCACGAAUCUGGAGGUUUUCCACCUUUUCAAGUCAUCUUGAUGUUUCUCUAGUGUUUUGUAAGCCUCUUUCCAGCUGGCUGCCUGUGUGUAUGCGUGUGUUUGUGCGCCUGUGUAUGUGCGCGCGCCUAUCCGAUGCAUUUCACAGUCUUUUUUCCAACUGCCCAGAAGCAAACGUGUUAACUCAGAGAUGCCCCUCCAUGCCCAGGUUCUCCCAGAGCUUGGAGGACACCCAGACCGGUUUUCCUGGCUGGAGUCUGGGAAGAUGAUGGGCUAUGAACCCAGGUGUAUGGAUCACUUAAACCAGAGGAUUGGAAAGUGGCUGUAUUAACCAGCUUCCAGGUACAUCACAAGGUCAAGAGAGGGACUUGCAGCUGUAUUAUUUUCCUGCAUCUUCACUUUCCUGUUUUGGUCCGAGGAAUAUGAAUGUGUCUGUCCACAACCUUUGAAGCCAAACUUCAGCACUCCGAGCUGGUUUACUGUACAAACAAGGUAAUGAGGAUUGCUUUUCAAACUGCUUAACGAAUCCCCGACGCUUCCAUAGCCCUUUCAGGACUCCCUUACUCCCCAGCGAAAUGUCACCAGCUUUUGAAUUCCAAGGAUUUGACUGCAGGAGAACUUGAAGGAAACGUGGUCAAGGGGCUAUGUGAGAAAGCGACUGCUCUCUUUGCCGGUGGGCUGGUGGGCUUCCGGACCGGAUCUUGAGUGGGACCAGUACUGUUUCUUCCUCCCGGUGCGGUUCUGGGAGUGCUUGUGCAAGUGUGAGUGCGCGCGCGCCAGGCUGAGAAUGUGUGAGUGUGUGUGAGCGUGUCUCUGUGUGUGCGCGGCCGCCCUGCUUCUCUGCCCGCUCCCCGGGCGCGGAGCCACCGGUUUCAUGGGGCGAUUUGCGCUGAUUCCCCACCCAGCGCGACCUGCGAGCAGCGACGGCAGGGGCAGGAGCCACCUCUCUGACUCCCUAGGAUGCGGGUGCUGAGCAAUGGCAAAGGGCAGCGAAGUGAUGAGCAAGACCCCAGUACGACUGUGAAAGCCACCUGGAGCCACCUUGCCUGGAUCUUACCUGCCGGCAGAAAGUCUUCCUAUGACCGUCUUUCCCCCUAGAGGCACCAGACUCCCCCCAUUCAGCCAGGUGUGGAGAAGACAUGUAGUAGCUGAUAACCUUCCGUCUGACAUCACUCUCAGAACCAGCAUUGGAAAUGCGUUUACCCUGCCAGUCUUCUGCAGCAGCCAGGCCAAGCACUGACUCCUUCAUGGUAGUAAGGAACUCUUCAGACUCCAGAAG